GCCCUUGGAAGGGAUGUAUUUAUUAGAUUAAAAACCAAUGCCCUUCGGGGCUCACUGGUGAUUCAUGAUAACUCCUCGAAUCGCAUGGCCUUGUGCCGGCGAUGGUUCAUUCAAAUUUCUUCCCUAUCAACUUUCGAUGUUUGGGUAUUGGCCAAACAUGGUUGCAACGGGUAACGGAGGGUUAGGGCUCGGCCCCGGAGAAGGAGCCUGAGAAACGGCUACUACAUCCAAGGAAGGCAGCAGGCGCGCAAAUUACCCAAUCCCGACACGGGGAGGUAGUGACAAUAAAUACUGAUACAGGGCUCUUUUGGGUCUUGUAAUUGGAAUGAGUACAAUUUAAAUCCCUUAACGAGGAACAAUUGGAGGGCAAGUCUGGUGCCAGCAGCCGCGGUAAUUCCAGCUCCAAUAGCGUAUAUUAAAGUUGUUGUGGUUAAAAAGCUCGUAGUUGAACCCUGGGCCUGGCUGGCCGGUCCGCCUCACCGCGUGUACUGGUCCGGCCGGGCCUUUCCCUCUGUGGAACCCCAUGCCCUUCACUGGGUGUGGCGGGGAACCAGGACUUUUACAAGGGC
rnacentral:rRNA from 1 species